GAUGAACGCUGGCGGCGUGCCUAAUACAUGCAAGUCGAGCGAACAGACGAGGAGCUUGCUCCUCUGACGUUAGCGGCGGACGGGUGAGUAACACGUGGAUAACCUACCUAUAAGACUGGGAUAACUUCGGGAAACCGGAGCUAAUACCGGAUAAUAUAUUGAACCGCAUGGUUCAAUAGUGAAAGACGGUUUUGCUGUCACUUAUAGAUGGAUCCGCGCCGCAUUAGCUAGUUGGUAAGGUAACGGCUUACCAAGGCAAUGAUGCGUAGCCGACCUGAGAGGGUGAUCGGCCACACUGGAACUGAGACACGGUCCAGACUCCUACGGGAGGCAGCAGUAGGGAAUCUUCCGCAAUGGGCGAAAGCUUGACGGAGCAACGCCGCGUGAGUGAUGAAGGUCUUCGGAUCGUAAAACUCUGUUAUUAGGGAAGAACAAAUGUGUAAGUAACUAUGCACGUCUUGACGGUACCUAAUCAGAAAGCCACGGCUAACUACGU
rnacentral:rRNA from 1 species